rnacentral:tRNA from 1 species
GCCCGGGUGGCGGAAUUGGCAGACGCGCAGCGUUGAGGUCGCUGUGGGAGUUAAAUCCCGUGCUGGUUCGACUCCAGUCCCGGGCA